rnacentral:rRNA from 1 species
UUAAAGGAAGUUGACGGGGAGCACUACAACGGUGGAGCCUGCGGUUUAAUUGGAUCAACGCCGGAAAUCUCACCGGGGCGACAGCAAUAUGAAGGUCAGGCUGAAGACCUUACCCGAUUAGCUGAGAGGUGGUGCAUGGCCGUCGUCAGUUCGUACUGUGAAGCAUCCUGUUAAGUCAGGCAACGAGCGAGACCCACGUCCACAGUUGCCAGCAUACCCUCCGGGGUGAUGGGUACACUGUGGAGACCGCCGCUGCUAAAGCGGAGGAAGGAGUGGGCAACGGUAGGUCAGUAUGCCCCGAAUCUCCCGGGCUACACGCGGGCUACAAUGGUUGGUACAAUGGGCAUCUACCCCGAAAGGGGAAGGAAAUCUCUUAAAGCCAAUCGUAGUUCGGAUUGAGGGCUGCAACUCGCCCUCAUGAAGCUGGAAUCCGUAGUAAUCGCGUUUCAACAGAACGCGGUGAAUACGUCCCUGCUCCUU